CCAGGUCCUCCAGGCUGCUCAGAAGGUCAGCUGUGGCAGGCCUGGCGGUAGCAAAGGGGCUGUGGUCACUGCCAGAAUCCCUGCCUCCUUUCCCAGACAGCCACCUAGCUGUGAGAUCCUGGGCACAGGAUGGUGAGCAAACCAACCAACCAACAACAAGGAAGGGGCCUCACCAGGCCAGAAACUCUGUGUAUCCCAUGUGUCAGGAGCCCAGAUAACAAGCUCUGAGAUCACCCUGGCCUCCUCUCUUCUCCACCCUCCCAAGCUGAGCUCAGAGGAAGAGGCGGGAGGACAAAGAGAGGAGUCUGGGAGGAGCAGAGUGUGAAGGGGACCCAGGAGCCAGGAACAAUCCAAUAAAGCGCGGGCAGCCUGCAUCGAUCCUGCCUGCUGUAUCUCCGG